UAGUGAAAACUGGGUCCAGGGGUGUCAGCACCUUCUGGUCCUGUGGUGCCAACAAUGCACUGGAUAUACCAGCAUUUAUUAUUAAGUUUAGUGAGGGUGGGGGUAGGUUAGUGAGGGAUUUAGGGUCAUUUGAUUAUGAGGUGAGAUGGUCACAUGGGGAUGAAGUAAUUCUUUAACAUGACAUCUGUAUGCAGAAGUACAGUAUACAGAGAUAAGAAUUGACAAUAUAGUGUGUGCAUCAGUAAUUUCUAACAGAGCCUUAAAACAGAAACACAGUCUUUCCAUAACCUAUGAUUAGCAAGAUAUUAAUCAGCAGUAACAGUUGCAGCAAAAGCUGGUUACAAACAAUCCAUAGAAACAGGCUGUGAAGCUAGACAACCGGUUAGACCACAAAUUCUCAGAAGGGAGUAUUCCUUAACCCUAAAGAGGCCUAGAACAGCCGUGGCAAGAUGAGGGCGUUUAUAGCCCUAUCUUUUCCAUAUGGACAGGCGCCCCCCCAUGCGUCCAUUUAUAGGCUCUCCACGAGGGUCGCAUUCCAUUCUCAGAGCUAUGAACAUCUGCUUUUCUGGGAUAGGAAUCUUGGUGAUGUGAAACCUCCCUGACAGCACGUUCGUUCACAGGCUCUCUGGCAGGGGGAAGCACAUCAUGCUCUGUUGGCUCAUUCUGGCAGCCCAACCUGGUACUGUCUUUACACAAUCCUGCAUGCAAUUUUGUAUUUACAACAAUCAGGAGCAUUUCAUCUUUUAUUCCGUAGCAAUAGUUUCAGGGGGUCUCCCUACAGUCCUUCCCUUGCAUUUUCCUCUCACCUGCCCCACACCCCUUCCAAAUCUGUUCUUUCACUUCCAAGUCAUUGAGUUUUUCCAUUUAAAAAUAUAAAAGAUACAGAAAGGGCCGGGCGCGGUGGCUCAAGCCUGUAAUCCCAGCACUUUGGGAGGCCGAGACGGGCGGAUCAUGAGGUCAGGAGAUCGAGACCAUCCUGGCUGACACGGUGAAACCCCGUCUCUACUAAAAAAUACAAAAAAUUAGCCGGGCGAGGUGGCGGGCGCCUGUAGUCCCAGCUACUCGGGAGGCUGAGCCACCGCGUCCGGCCUGCAGUGGUUUUCUUACUACUUUUUACAAUCAAAUUGAUUAAGACAUUGGUUGAAUAUGGUACAAUGCAUCCAUUUCAAGUUUGAUGACAUGUCUACUACUCCAGAAGGUCCUCUCGUGCCCUUUGCAGUCAGUCCCCUCGACUCCCUGACCCCAGCAUUUAAUAGUUUCUGUCACUAUACAGGUUAGUUUCACCUGUUCUAGAAAUUCAACUUGAUGGUGCCACACAGGAUGCCCUCUUUUCAUCAGUCAGCAUGAGGUUUUUGAGAUUCAUCCAUGCGAUCUCAUGUUUCCAUGAUUUGUCCCAUCUUAUUGAGGGUAGCACUCCAUUGGAUGAAUAUAUCACAAUAGGUCCAUUUAGCCCUUGAUACAUAUGAACCGUUUCCCGUUUGGAGACUAUUGUAAACAAAGCUGCUAAGAACAGGCUCUUUUUGUGAAUAUAUGUUUUGUAAAUUCUAUUUGUCCUUCUUUAGUAUUAACUUAUUUUGUAAAAGGAUGUCACCUUCACAAGUGCAAAAUUCAUUCAAAUGUUACAGAGGCCUGAAGCAGAAGUCUACACAAUUUCCUUUGUUAUAUUUCAUAAUUAAGGGGGAAAAACUUUAUCUGGGAUAUUGUUUCCUGUCAGCAAAUCCUUGAUGUAAGCCACACACGAUGCUAGGUGUACUAUUAGACUGUCUUCUGUAA
rnacentral:lncRNA from 1 species